GGUUCUUGAAGGCCGUCACCUGUGCCUGGUGGGUCUGUGUGAGAACACUCAGGUCCUGCCGCUUUGAUAACUUUCGAAGUCCUUCCCUGAGGCUGCUCAGCUGGCUCAGGAGCAGAGAGACGCAGAACCCGGUGGAGCCAUUCUCACCCCCAGGCCUUCUCACUGAAACCUCAGAACAACACCCAGGAGACCCUCCUCUCGUCCCAGCAGGGGGACUGAGGCCUCCCCAGUCUCCAGCCUGGGAGCCACUCACUACCCACGGGGCCCACUUAUGUCUAAAUUGAUUAAAAUUAGGUGAAAAGUUUAGUCACACAAACUGAAGUACUGAGCCCUUUACCGUGGAAAGUUUCAGGGGGCGGCUGCUUGUGGUUCAGAAAGUUGGUCACAGGCAGGAGUCUAGAGCUACUCAGGAGGGCAGCCACCUUGGCCCCACCCCAGGCCCUGUUAUUGCAGAGGGGCCACCUGGGGGCUGCUGGGCUGACUGUGAGCGUUCUCACCCACCCCUCGACCAGCGAGCAGCUUCGUCCCGUAGGCCCGGGUUGUCAGGAGCACCGAGGAGUCCCCCCGCAGUGGCCCUGGCAGGUCAGCCCGAGAGAGCAGGGCCGCCACGUCUGCGGGGGCAGCCUCAUCAGCCUCCGUGGGUGCUGCCCGCCGCCCACUGCGUCUGCAGCUCUGUGAGCCUGACCGUCCAGCUGGGAGCAUCUGUCCUGCACACCAGCCCCCCAGGCUGUCUUCGUGGCUGUGCUCUGCGUCAUCUGACACCCCUCCUUCAACGGGAAUGUGCCUGCUGAAGCUGGCUCCGCUGUGCCCGUCUCCCAAACCGUCAGGCCCAUCCCUCUGGCCUCGGCAGGCUCCUCCUUCCCACCGGGCACCCUCUGCUGGCUCACCGGCUGGGGGGACAUCAGGCAGGAUGCCUCCUGCAGUGGCCCUGCCAGAGCCCCAUAGGCUUCAGGAGGUGGACGUGCACAUUGUCAGCCUGCAGAGCUGCCGCAGGCUCUCCUGCUUGGAGCCCGUCACCAAGGAGAUGCUGGGUGCUGGCCACUGCCAGGGCCAGAAGGGCUUCUGCAAGCUCAGACCCCCAUUGGCACUCCUGCCCUGGUCCCCUUUUAUCCUAAGUGACCCCAAGAGGCAGGCUGGGUCCUGGACUUGGGGCAGGGGAGAGACAUCAUCAUCUCGCUCCACGAGGUGGAGGGCUUUGCCUCGCCCCCGAGGUGGAACGGCGUCUGGUGCAGCUGGAGCUCGAUGGAUGCUUGUUACAAGAAUGAGUCUGGAGUCAACCUGACAAUAAACAGCCAGAGAACUCGAGCUCCAGCUGCCGCAGGGAGGUGAGCGGGUGCUGCAAAGACGCAGAGGGUCAGAAUCCAGGCUCAGAGAGGCCAUGUGACUUGUAAGGGAGGCAGCAUGCAUCAGGGGAAGCAUCCAGGCUUGGAAUAAUAAUAAAGUAACUGAAUCUCAGUGAUGCUGUAACCUAGCUGUGUGAUCUUUAGGGAGUUUCUUAACCUCUCUGAGCCUCAGAGGCC
ensembl:lncRNA